CUCUUCCUAGCAAAAGAGGGUAGGGGAUGGGAAGAGAAAGAACCCAAAAAGGAAGAGGGAAAAUUGGAGGUGUUCCUUCCGAUUCAGUGUUUUAUGAAUUAAAAUUGUGUAAUAUGUAGAGCAGAUUCAUGGGUCGAAGUUAUGGUGCGUUCAUUUCUUAACUCAAUUCUCGAUUUGGGUGCUUGUUUUUGCUGCAAUUCUUCCUCAUAAUUGGUGGGUCGUGAAUGCUAGGGAAAGGGAUUGAGAAGAUGGGGAACACCCUACUGCUCAAUUGAAUUAUGAGAACACGAAAAGUGUGGUGAACCAAUACUUGAGUAUUCUGUGGGUUUUGUUGAUACUCAUCUUGUGCCUUUCGUCUCCCCAGUAGAGGUCAUAAUACAAUGAAUGAUGAGGAAGUGUUGAACACACCAAGGACAUCUGUGAAGUUCUCUUGGAACCAUGGUGGCAAGCAAGUGGCUAUCAUUGGGUCGUGGGAUAACUGGGAGACAAGGGAGAUCUUGCAGAGCAUAGGGAAAGAUUUUAUCGUUGCCAAAACGCUUCCCUCGGGGAUCUACCAUUACCGAUUCAUUGUUGAUGGAUGGUUGACACAUGCUCCUGAUUUGCCAUGGGUUUGUGAUGAUUCAGGAAAUUCUUACAAUAUUCUUGACUUGAUGACACCUGUCUUGGAAUUUCCCGAAAGUCUGUCCGAGUUUGAAUUUCCUCCAUCCCCACCAUCUACUUACGACAACCAAUACUUCAACGACGAUGAUUUCAGUAGGCCUCCACCGGAUCUACCACCACAACUGCGAGAGACUAUUUUGAACGAAUCAUCUCGCUGCAUAAGUGGUCAGCAGUCUGGCAUGCAGCCUCGACACACCGAGUUAAAUCAUUUAUACCAAAAUAACGUUGGAGAUUGCCUUAAAAGAUGACUUUGAGAAAAGAGAUGAGACGCUCAACCCAUCUUUACAAAUACGAGAAAUCACUUAUGACUGCCUGGUUUUGGAUCAAAUCAGCUCCUAGGAUAUAUGUCUCUGCUUUUCCCUGGAUCAUGUCAUCACCAUUCGCUCUAUGGCAAUGGAGUUCUUCGUCUUUUUUCAACGUUCCGUUCUUUCCGAACUGAUUUCUGCCUCCUGUAAAUUAAUUGAGUUUCGAGUUUUAUGCUUCUCUUCGUUUAAUUGUUUGUGUUCUUGAAAUUAAUAUCUCGAACAUUCUGCAGAGGCACAUCAGUUCUUGCUCCAGCAGGAUCAAGAAAACAGCUUGGUGUAUUGAAAUGGGAAUGGAAAAGAAUCCAAACUCAUAUGAGCUGACAGACUAACAACAAAAUCGAACUGAGUUACAACAGUUUGUAUUAGAUUCUGGAAGAACAUUACAACUCAAAAUAGGCAUAAACAGUGGGUUUUUGGUGGGCUGUAGAGAAGCAGCAGAGGAUCUGAGGUUACUGUCAUGGUUGAUCAGAUUCAUCUCACAGGUACUUUAACCCAGCCAUUGGCAAAAGCUAUGGCUAAGAUCACGAAAGGCGUCGACAUGCCGAAGAUGAUGAUAUAAGGAAGAGGAGUCUUCAUGGGAUUUUCCCCUUCCCUCUCCCCUGCUGUCUGCCAAUACCUGCUCCAAAUUCAACCACAUUUCCAUCUUAAAGCCCUGAUGAUAUCUUCUUCUACUUGAAAAACAACUCCAAUUGGUGAAAUCCCACGCCGGUUUUAAAACCUUGAGAGAAUAUCGGCCAGCAGUGGGAUUAGGCCAUUACAAAUUGAUACAGAAAAGGGAAAGAAUUUCUUACUGCUCUGGCUCUUCUUCUUUGGUUAUGAACUUCUUCUUCCCUCCCUUCUUGACCUCGGCGUCGCCACCACCUGAAAAACAACAUCAGCAGCUGAAAAACAGCAAGAGUGAGCUGCAGAUCCAAGCGAAAGUAGAAGGGCCUUUACCUGAAUUUGCAAGAAGUUUGAACUGAGAAGCUCUUGGCUUUGGCUUGGGCGGCGAGAAGGUGGUGCAGGGAAGAGGAGGGAAGAAGGGAGAUGGGUUUUGUUGGAGUGGGAAUUUGAUGGUGGUAAGGGAAGAAGAAAGAGGGAAUUUGGCGGCCAUUGUUGAAGGAAGAGUGAGCUUUGUUUGGGCAUUUGUCGUUGGGGAUCACAUAUAUCAAUGGAGAUUUGGAUAUGGAUGGUGUGGUGUGGCACUCAUAUUAUUAUUAGCCAAUGCGUUACAUGACGACAGCCAAGACCUCUAUGGCCCCAUCUUCACUUUUCAUUGUAAUUUGUGGUCACAUUUCUAUGGAGCCAUGAAUGUACUUUUAUGGUGGUUGAAUUGACUCAACCCUUUUUACCCUUUCUA